rnacentral:rRNA from 1 species
CCUGCAUGCCUCCGACUAGAAGAGCAAUUCUCUCCGAAUCUGCGAACGGCUCCGCAAACCAGUUGUAAACCAUAGCGAGCAUGCCCUUGGUCCGGCCGCAAGGCUGGGCCUCGGGCAAUAAGGAUAACCCUGGUAAUUCUGAGGCUAAUACAUGAACGCAAAACCUGGCUGACCGGGUAACUGGAAGGCUGGGGGACGUGUGACUGAGUCGCAAUUUUGCUGGGAGUAGACGCACGUUCAGACCACCAUACCAAACAGUCUUGCCGGGGUUCGCCCUGGCUCGUCUGGGUGGCUCUCGCUUUGUGCUUCUGACCUAUCAACUAGAUGGCAGCGUAAGGGACAUGCUAUGGUGACAACGGGUACAGAGGAUAAGGGUUCGAUCCUGGAGAGUGGGCCUGAGAGAUUGCUCACACUUCUAAGGAAGGCAGCAGGCGCGUAACGUUCCCCUUGGGCAAUGCUCGAGGGCGUUAGGGGACAUAUGAAUGCCUGCCUUUUGGUGGGCAAUUCAAAUGGGUCUGUUCUAAACAGCCUCUCGAGUAACAAUUAGAGGACAAGUCUGGUGCCAGCACCCGCGGUAAUUCCAGCUCUAAUAGCAUACGUUAAAGUUGUUGCGGUUAAAACGCUCGUAGUCGGCUUAAGAUCUUCAGAUUCUUGCGCUGGGAGCCGGGUCCGUUGCCCUCGUAAAGGGCACGCCGGGGACUGGCAACGGAGGACGUUGGUCGAACGCAUUUCAGGCUGCCUCCUCGGAGUCGCAGGGCUGGGGGUCCGCCCCCGGUUCGGCCUGGAUGCCAUUUACCAUGAUUAAACCGGGGUGAUCAAAGCAGGUCUUUCGACACGUACGGCGCAGCAUGGUAUACUCUAACCGGCCGGGCUCUAUUGCGGGGGCCCGGCUGGUAGAAGCGAAAGGGAUGUUCGAGGGUGACCGAAUUGCUGGGCGAGUGGUGAAAUACGUUGACCCUAGCAAGUCGACCAAAGGCGAAAGCAGUCAUCAAGGGCAUACCCGUUGAUCAAGAGCGAAAGUUAAGGGUUCGAAGACGAUCAGAUACCGUCGUAGUCUUAACUAUAAAUGAUGCAAACCAGAGAUAGGACCCUGUCCAUCUCGACUCCUUCUGGAUCCUGGAGAAAUUAGAGUCUUUGGGUUCUGGGGGGAGUAUGGUCGCAAGGCUGAAACUUAAAGGAAUUGACGGAAGGGCACACAAAGAGUGGAACCUGCGGCUUAAUUUGACUCAACACGGGAAAACUCACCAGGUCCAGAUACACGCAUGAAAGUCAAGCUGAAAGACUUUACUCAAUGAUGUAAGUGGUGGUGCAUGGUCGUUCUUAGUUCGUGGAUUGAUUUGUCUGGUCUAUUCCGAUAACGAGCGAGACCCCAUGUUCCUAAUAGGGGCGGUAGCCCGCUGCCGCAAGGCUAGCAGCUGCUGCUUAAGAUUUGCUUCUUAGACGUAUCAGAGCCGAUAAGGUUCUUGAAAUGGGUUAAUAACAGGUCAGUCAUGCCCUUAGAUGUUCUGGGCCGCACGCGCGUUACAAUGGCAUGUAAAGCAAGUGCUUUUCAAAGGCGUCUCCGGGGCCGAAAGGCUCCGGUAACCCUUAGUCCCUGCCUUGACUGGGACAGAUCUUUGCAAUUAUUGGUCUCAAACGAGGAAUUUUUAGUAGUCGUAGGUCAUUAACCUACGACGAAUGCGUCCCUGCCCUUUGUACACACCGCCCGUCGCUGCUACCGAUUGGGUUUUACAGUUACGUGCUUGGAGGCCGUGGUUCCCUGCUUGCUCUCGGGUAGGCAGGUGCCGUAGCCGAAAUUCNAAUUACUGUACGGCCUAGAG